AGCUUGAAUAGCUUCAGAUCUACUAUAUGCAGCUACAGUAAGCCCUCUUACUGAGGACACAUUCUCAUCUGUGCCAGGGAAUGCCCAAUCAGAGGAGUCUCAUUGAGAAGCCUUGCAUACCAUUAAAUGACAGACUUCGCAGAGAGCUGUAUUACAGUACAUUGAUAAAUCUUUGCAACUUAGGUGCUGUGGGCAAUUUCUUGCCUUUUGAAUUUUGCUCAAUGAAACUUAAC